AGUCGACGGUGAGCAGAGCUUGCUCUGUGGAUCAGUGGCGAACGGGUGAGUAACACGUGAGCAAUCUGCCCCUGACUCUGGGAUAAGCGCUGGAAACGGCGUCUAAUACCGGAUACGAGCUGCGAUCGCAUGGUCAGUAGCUGGAAAGAAUUUCGGUCAGGGAUGAGCUCGCGGCCUAUCAGCUUGUUGGUGAGGUAAUGGCUCACCAAGGCGUCGACGGGUAGCCGGCCUGAGAGGGUGACCGGCCACACUGGGACUGAGACACGGCCCAGACUCCUACGGGAGGCAGCAGUGGGGAAUAUUGCACAAUGGGCGGAAGCCUGAUGCAGCAACGCCGCGUGAGGGAUGACGGCCUUCGGGUUGUAAACCUCCCGGCUAACUACGUGCCAGCAGCCGCGGUAAUACGUAGGGCGCAAGCGUUAUCCGGAAUUAUUGGGCGUAAAGAGCUCGUAGGCGGUCUGUCGCGUCUGCUGUGAAAACCCGAGNCUCAACCUCGGGCCUGCAGUGGGUACGGGCAGACUAGAGUGCGGGGGAGAUUGGAAUUCCUGGUGUAGCGGUGGAAUGCGCAGAUAUCAGGAGGAACACCGAUGGCGAAGGCAGAUCUCUGGUCNUUUAACUGACGCUGAGGAGCGAAAGGGUGGGGAGCAAACAGGCUUAGAUACCCUGGUAGUCCACCCCGUAAACGUUGGGAACUAGUUGUGGGGUCCAUUCCACGGAUUCCGUGACGCAGCUAACGCAUUAAGUUCCCCGCCUGGGGAGUACGGCCGCAAGGCUAAAACUCAAAGGAAUUGACGGGGACCCGCACAAGCGGCGGAGCAUGCGGAUUAAUUCGAUGCAACGCGAAGAACCUUACCAAGGCUUGACAUAUAGAGGAAACGGCUGGAAACA
rnacentral:rRNA from 1 species